CCUACGGGUGGCAGCAGUGGGGAAUAUUGGACAAUGGGCGAAAGCCUGAUCCAGCCAUGCCGCGUGUGUGAAGAAGGCCUUCGGGUUGUAAAGCACUUUCAGUGGGGAAGAAAGCCUUGGGGCUAAUACCCUCGAGGAAGGACAUCACCCACAGAAGAAGCACCGGCUAACUCCGUGCCAGCAGCCGCGGUAAUACGGAGGGUGCGAGCGUUAAUCGGAAUUACUGGGCGUAAAGCGCGCGUAGGCGGUCUGAUAAGCCGGUUGUGAAAGCCCCGGGCUCAACCUGGGAACGGCAUCCGGAACUGGCAGGGUAGAGGGCAGGAGAGGAAGGGAGAAUUCCCGGUGUAGCGGUGAAAAGCGUAGAGAUCGGGAGGAAUACCAGUGGCGAAGGCGGCCUUCUGGACUGACACUGACGCUGAGGUGCGAAAGCGUGGGUAGCAAACAGGAUUAGAUACCCUAGUAGUC
rnacentral:rRNA from 1 species